GAGAAGAAAAUGUUUUUCUCACUUGGCCUUAAACUAUGUUCUGCUGUGUCCUGUUUCUGUGGAAGCGGUUCUCAAACUCUCUUGGUAAAGACAAGUAUACUUUGAUGAUAAGAAGAGGGGUGAUUUGUUAUGUGAAUAUUUUGAGAAGAAACCUUUGUUUAGUAGUAUUUCUUUGUUUAGUCUUGCCUCAGUUGUUCCUGGUAUCAUGGGAAUAAUGAUCUUAUGGUAUCUUGCCAAAAUGGAAAUUGUAGUAAUACAUAUUCAUAGCUAUAUAAGGAUUAAUAAAGCUUGCAACUGUGUGCAGUCGCUUCUGCCUUUGCUCUGCACCCCAUGUCCUGGUUGUGUUUGACCAUACCCAGGGCCCCCAAUGCAAUAGAUGUUGACAACAACUCUCCCACCACCUCACAGACUCUCUGAAGAUUGGCUGCCACCAUUGCUUUUAAUAGUCCGCAGAUGUGAUGUCCCCUAAAGUUGUGCUUCAUGAUGCCUUGAAAAAUCUCCAUGCUCACCUGAGAACUCUAAACCUCCAGACUCUGGUUCUGGGUGCACUGCUGCCUUUUAUCAAGUGUUAUUAGCGAUGAUUGGUUCAUUUAUUACACUUGUCUUUAGACAAAUAAUUAAAGGUAACCUCUUUCUUCUAGAUCACGGAAAAGAGUAGUGUCUUUAUUCCUGUUUCGUCCUUACAAGCCAGACAGUUAAGUUUAAUGGGGGCACAAUAUAAUUUGCAUUUGAAACUCAGGAAUCUCUCUUGAUUGCUGAGACUGGAGCUUCAGUCUAUGGGGUUUACUGGUCUUCAGAGAAUUUAUAAAAACAGGUGUCGAAUGAUGGUGUCAUGUGUUGACCGGCUAGAGAGGAACACAGUGCUUUCAAGCUAUACAAACUAAAGCAAUCCUUCUGGCUACUAUCUCUUAUUAACAAGGACCUGAAGGUUGGAUGGCAUACAACUCCAGAUUGAAUUGUGGUCAAUUCCAGAUUUAACUUCAGGUCUUCUGGUACCCAGACAGUGACCUACAUCACAUCUCUGUAUCUUCUCUUCAAAACUGUUUGUUUCCUCUCUCCCAACUAUUUUCAUUUAAUCUUCCGGAAUGAUUAGCAAAGCAGGCUAAAUAGAUGAAGUCAAUGGAGGCCAGCAAGGUUAAAUGACUGGUCCCUAGGUCUACGGUGACUCUUACAGAGGAAGGAAGAUUUAGGAAUAAAAAUGGAUGUUUGCUGCUUUAGAAGUCAAAGAUUCUAUAUUUUUGGAUUCUCUAUAGUCAUGUUAUUGGCAAAUUAAACCAGCAGUAUUUUCAAGUUCCUAGCUAUAUAGUAGCUGAUUUACUUUAGGGCUUAAUAUUAACUUUUUCAAAGAAAUGAGUUUGGUUGCAAUUUUGACGGACAGAGAAUGGAGAUAUUUACAUAAAACCAUUACCUUUUAAACAAAAAGGCUUCAAGGACCAAUACCUAUAAAACUUAUCAAUCUCACACCUCCAAGUAGCAGGGGGACCUGGUUCUUUUUUCUGUGUAAGGAUCUGCAGUGUUGGUUCUUGAUGUUUCCAAUGUCACCGUAGACAUGUCAUAACUAUUCCAGCCUGUUUUGUGCCUGCUUGAUCUGGAAACAAGCUCACAGGAACCAUGGCUGCAUCCAUUGAUCACUUACUAUGGCCAAGACAUAAGCAGGAGGCGAGACUUGUCAAGACAAAGUGGAUGCUCUAGUACUCUAUGUGGUAAACCAUAGAGCAUCAAGAUUUUAGUGGCAUAGAAUGUCUUCAAGGGGUCUGGUCAAAGAAGUGUCAUCUAAGUAAGGGACAGUCAAAGGUUUUCAGAAGUAGCUAAGCUUUGGAAAGGUGGCAGGACUCAGAGAAGAGGGAUAAAAAGAAAAGGGACCGUGAGCAGAAAAGAUGGUCUUUAGAGAUGCUGAAAUCAAAGAAAUGCUCCUUAGACUUUGUUAAAGCUUUCCACGAUUUUAAAUUUAUUUAUUUUUUUCUUCUUGUGUAUUUCCCUGAGAAAACAGAAGCUGUCCUGAAGAGAGAAGAUACCAAGCUACUUUUCCAGUAGGCAAAAUCUAUGAAAUCCUUGCCAGCCACUGUAGCUGGGAACUGGGCUACAAACCUGUGAAGGAGUUUGAACAAGUUUAUUUCCUUGCUCAGUUGAGAAAAGACCCUGGAGUAGGCACAUGGUCCGAUGGGACAGAAAACAAGAAAACAGGGGCACGGACAGCUUCUUCCUCCACACCUUCUGAAAGGGUUUUCUGAUCAGCAUUUCUAACAGUGUGCACAUUUUUCAUGUCCCUUUAAGGUGUGCUUCAUGAUGCAUAGAGUCUCUAUGCUCACCUGAGAUCUCUAGCCCUCCACAGACUGGUUCUGGGUGUGUCGCUGCCAUUGAUCAUGCUUUAUUCAUGAUGGUUGACUCACUUGCCACACUUAGUCUCAAACAAAUUUAUUAAAGCCUGAUCCUUUAAAAACCAAAUCCUCUCCUUUAUCUGUGUACAAAUCUUUUGUGCCACAAACAGCUAUUGUAUUCUUGCUACCUGGUGUUUCAAGUUUUGCAACAGACUCUAUACUAUAUUAUUUUCAGGAAAAAUCCAGACUAAGACAACACAAAAUAAGUCCCAUGAAUAUGGAUACACACUCUAUGCAGCCUUAUUUAAUAAGGCAGAUUUAAUUGCAGAAUAGAAGAGGCACAGAAUUCCAUUCACUUUGAAAGAAUGGGGUUGCCUGGACACACUGUACCUAGAGCACCAGGGCUGCAUCUCUUGGCCCAACAACCUCAGCAUGUGCCUCCUUCCUUUGCCCCUGCUGCCAAGCCAUUCACACUCAUUUUUUCCUGGGUGGCUUCUUUCUUUCCCUUCCUACUUCCCAGAUCCCAUUUCAUCAUACUGUAUCUUCCAGGUUCACUGCUGCAUCUGAGGAUGCUACAUCAGGGCCGCAUGACUUUUAGAUCAACCAAAAGCAGCUAUGAAGACACAAUCACUGGCCACAUUUUCAGUCAAAUUUCAGACAAUUAGGUUGGUGAAAACUGUCAAUAUUUACUGGAAAUUGCAGGUACAUGUUUUCAGUGUUACCAUCAUGUCUUUUAAGUGGAUUUUCGUAAUUAUUUUCCAAAUCAUUUGUAAGUCUAACAUGGGUGCUGAAAGGACCUAAGGAACACGUCUGGAGCAUGUAGUAACAAUAUGCCAAGAAUAUUUACACACACAAUGAGAAAGGGUGACAGUGGUGCCUAUCAAAAAGAAAAAGCAAAACUGGAAGGGACAAUUACACAAAUUGAAUAUAGUGCUGACAUGCUGCACAAAGAGAAUUACAGAGCUGUAGAACCAAGAAAACAGAACCUUCCCAAAGAGAAUAAUAUCUGAGGGCUUUCUUCCUUAACUUUUAUAAGCUACUACCUGGUAUGUUUUCCCCUCUUUCUAGCAAAUAUGAAAACCUUUCCAAUUAAGCUGCUCAAAUGCAAUUCAUUGGAUCAAAGGUUACAAUAAAGAGAAAAAUCCUGACAAUCUCCACAUCACCUGGAAUGUAUUUAGUUAAUAGCUUGAAUUUUAAAAUUAUUUCAGGUUCAAAAUUUCUCAAAAAUUAAAAAAGUGGGUAAAAGAAAUGAUUCUUCUUAAAAUAUUCAACAAAUUUUCAAUUUUACAUCUGAAGGGAAACUUAAAAAAAUACCUUAGAAAUGUCCUAGGUAGAAAGAAGACUGAAUUAAAAUGUGUUGUAUUACAUUGUUUCUAACAAAAAUCAAUUUCCUGGUAAGAAAUUAAUAAAAAUAGACAACCUUCACAGAUGUAUAGGAAUUGAGCUAAAAAGUAAAGUAACCCAUUCCAAAGUUAUUAAACCAGACAUGCUGUUAUCACAAUAGUAAAUAGAUGGAUUUUACAGACAAAAAUACAUUUUCUAUAUAAAUAGAUCUUCAAUUAAAAUAAUUGUAAAAUGAAUCACAAGACCACAUUUCCAAGUUUCUGAAAAGAUAGUUUAUAACUCUGAAACCAGUUAAAAACCAGAGAUUACUCAAAAUCAUACACUCCAUUCCUUCUAUUUUUUAAAUUACUAAUUUCUUUAACAAGUUUAAAAUUAUACAUUAGAACUUUAUAAGUUUUAAUCUUUAUUCAAGGGAAAACAAAAAGUUAAAGAGUUCCUCAAAAUUCUUCCCACAUGAUGCAUAUCCAUUAUGUAAUACUAAACUCCCGGUUUAGAGAUAAAUCCAUAAAUUCUAAGUUUUAAAAACCCACAAAGAUGAUUUUGAUUUGCAACUGUGGAAUAUGACAGGCAGUAUAAAAACACAGGGUCCAGUCAGGAGUCUUGAAGGCUGUGUUUUCAUGUGGAGGACAUUCCUCCACAAAGGAGUCAGACUUUGGUUCACAGUUUGUAAGCUCUGCAAAACUUUUGUUAUGAUAGGUUGCUACCCACAGAGGAAGUUAUUCAUAAACAAAAUAACCUUGUAGUUUAUGAUUUUAAUGCAAGCCAUUGUAACUCUUCUUUGGGUCUGAAUUUUUAAUCAGCUGGUACUUAAUGUGAACUAUAACCAGGGAAAGUGCAUAAUGCUAAAUUAACAUAAAAUAUAAGUUAUAGCAGAAGAAAAAUAAGAGGACACCAAGAGAGUUGAAAUCUGGUUCAUUGUUUGGGGGUUGUUUUUGUACAUUACCCAAGAGAUCUUGCAAUCUAAACCAUGACAUUUCUAAUCUAGUUGGUAACAGUUGUUUUCUAACACCAUAAUUAAAAAUAGUACACAGUGUAGUACACUCUUCUGUUAAAAGAUAUUUACCACUUAUUAUUUUUUGAGUAAAUUACUUACUUAAAUAAAUGUGACACCAUGUGCUUAUUCCUACAGUUAUUUAUUGACUAUUAUUUUUAGAUAAGCAAAUACAUUGUUUUAAAAUGCGUUGAUAAGUGUGAACAGGGAGCUAUCACUGUAUCUUCAGCUAAAGGCCUAGUGAUUGGGAAUGAUACUUUUAUAAAUAUAAAAUCUAAUAAUUUGCUUUGCGUAUAUGAAUGCCUGAAACCAUUAGACAAAAUUUGCUCAGAAGCUGGGUUUUAUUUUAGAAGAUGUACUCAAACACAAAAUGUGCUUUAUAAGUUAAGUUUAGAGGCACAUCAUUAUCCAUUUUUAUUACUUAAAAAGACACUACAACACAUCUGUAGUAAAAAAAAAAAAAAACAAACAAACAGUUUCCAGUUUUCUAUAGUAACUCUUAUCCCUUUAACUUUGCUUCAUUUUGUAACAGGAUCAAUUUUUAAAAGGAAAAAAAAAUCUAUCAUGAAAUUAGUAACAUGCUCUAAUAAAAUACAAAACAUUCUUACAAGCAAUAUUUCCAAUUUAAACAGAAUUUUGUUCACAUUUCUACAAAGUGCAGUAAUUCCCCCUCCUGUAUUUUCUCUCUCUUUCUUUAACAUGUUUAAAAGUUUCAAGUUCUACAGAUAGAGAUUUGGGGAAACAUCGAAUUAUUUUCAAAGAUGUCUAUUUUCCUUUACUCCUUGCACAAAGGGGAACUUUCUUCCCCUUCUCCAAAAAUCUCAUUCUUACCUGAAGUAAUUGCAUCCAACUUUUCCUCAGGUAAAAGAGACAGUCUUACAAAAUUUCAAAAUCACCAAUGAAGCACUUAAAGUAAGCACUCUUCUUUAUGCGUGUCCCUUACUUUGCAGUUUUUUUUUUUUUAUUCUGAAAUGGAAUCUUUUUAGCUCUCCACAAAUACCUUGGUGAGCCCUCAACACUUCCUAACCACUUAAUAAUUUUGACCCAGUCAGCCUCUUCAAAUAGAUCUUUAACCACAAGAAUGCUUGCAAUCCCCCGAACAUAGCCUCUGUCCAAAAGGAAAAGAUAGGAUUUUGUGAGGCCUAAAUGAAGUGAGAGAAAACAAAAUAAAUGUAGCUGAAGCUGAGAGUGAAAAGUGCUUGGACAGAUUGGUAUUUUCUUUUCUGCACUGCAUCCUGCCAAUCUUCUUCCCCCAUACCCCACUCCUUAAUUAGGUCCGAAUUUGGCAUGUAGGAAAAUGUUAUCUACCACCUCAAGUCCCCCCAUAAUUACUAAUGUUUUGUUUUAAUGGGUCUUCAUCCGACUGAUAUACUGCCCCCGCUUCACCCUGUCAACACCCCAACUCUGGGAGACCUUAGUUGUAGAAACCCUGCGGACCCCCGACGACUCAUCCCACCGGAUCCCUUUCAUAUGAUUUUUUUUUUCAGUCGUGAGAUUCCCCCACUGGAGAGGUUGCAGUGACAACCAGAAAUUUUCAUUUAACUCUCCCCUGCCUUCCUGGGCCCCAAUUUUGACCCGAUCGCUGUGGAGCAGCACAGCAGGGGCCGGCCUGGCUCCUUUGCUCCGGAAGGGUUUAAUUGCACACUCGCCUCCCGGUGGGUUUCAGGCCCCAAGGCUCGAAGAUCCCCGCCCAGCCGCGGAGCCUCCUCUACUUGGAUCCCUAGCCUCAGCUAGAGACUCGAGGACCCUGAGCCUCCCCGGCCGCCCAGAGGGCGGCGCCCUCCGGGGUACCUCCGCCCUUCGCUGCUGUGCCCACCCCCUGCCGGCAGAGCGCCUCUCGCCUGGGCCGCAGUAGUCAGUGAUCUGCUCCAUUGGGCGAACACCUUCGUUGGCCGACAUACACUCCAGCUUCGCAGGAGGCGGGCGCCGCUAGACCGCAGGUUAAGAGAUUGUGGCCAGACUAUAUAAUCGCUCCGGAGCGGGAAGAGGAGGGAUCAGCGCUCUCCUACUGCGGUAGCGCAGCGAUUUGGCUAGGCUGAGUGUGUCUGCAGCUAUGCCCAGCUUGCUCCGGCAGGCGAGGAGAUAGGUCCUUCCAGCCUGGAGGCUGCAAGUGUGACUCCUAGUGUCCUCUAGACGACACCUCUAAGGAAAGAGUGCGCACCGGGGUUCCAAUGUGCCUCGCCGCUGGCAGCCUCCAGCCAGCACUGAGAAGGACAGCCUGAGCCUCAGCCACCAGUAGUGUGAGUGCUUGGCAUAGAUCUGGGAAGGCGCCUACAGGAAGUCUUUCAAGAGUGAAGACCUGAAGAAAGGCUGCGGCUUCGUGGCUCCGAAGAGCCUCCAAGUGCAGACCCGCAAGGAGGCCAUGCCACUCUUCACCAUCCAGGAGGUGGCUGGCAAGAGGACCUGGAGACCUUUGAGCACCCCAACGUGGUCAGGCAGAUUCGGGUUGGAGAGAACAGUGCAACAGACUCAACAGUCAAAGAUAAUGUAAAGCGGAAAAAGCUACUGGUCCAAAACAUACAGGAAAUUCAGGACUCA
rnacentral:sRNA from 1 species